rnacentral:rRNA from 1 species
UACGUAGGGUGCAAGCGUUAAUCGGAAUACUGGGCGUAAAGCGUGCGCAGGCGGUGAUGUAAGACAGAUGUGAAAUCCCCGGGCUCAACCUGGGAACUGCAUUUGUGACUGCAUCGCUGGAGUGCGGCAGAGGGGGAUGGAAUUCCGCGUGUAGCAGUGAAAUGCGUAGAUAUGCGGAGGAACACCGAUGGCGAAGGCAACUCCCCUGGCCUGCACUGACGCUCAUGCACGAAAGCGUGGGUAGCAAACGGG